AGGCAGCAGUGGGCACUGUGUGGGCAGUCCCGAGGGGGACAGGCCUCCGACUGGUACCACUGUGUCCUGGCUGCCCAUCGUUCUUAGGGCCUUUGGCUGUCUGUCCACACCAUGUCCCACCCCACAGGAAUCGUUUCUGGGACGGAUGAGAGUCCUGCCAUGCAGCGGGCAGUGUGCAAGCCUAAGGCCGGGGGUGGGGAAAGCAGCCUACUGCCCAAUGCCAAUGACAAAGGCCUGGGUGGGAUCAGUCGGCAGCACCUCUACUUCCAGAUCCCAGGCGCCCACUGGGCAGCUGAGGGACGGUGCCCAGGUGUGAACUUGGGUGGUGGCAACUCGCUCUCUGGCCGUGUCUGUCCCUGGAGGACCCUCCUUGGACCUGAAGGCCAGGCCAGGUUGGACCCACCAGGCCUUGUGAAGCUCUGCUCCUGGGUGCAAGACGAGAUCGAGAGGCCGGCCCUGGGGACAGUCUCUCUGUAAUUAGGCGUUUCCAACGGAGUUGGCUGUUAGUUAUGGAAAACAGCUGGGUCCCUGGGGUCUCUCUUCUGGUUGGGCUAAUUGCUGGAAUCGUUUGCCGUUUCAUUAUGGCCCAUCCACUGGGAGCCCAAGAAACAAACAUGUCUGAUGGAGUCAUAAGGAAAUCCCGGAAAGGGGCUGGAGGGUCUCCCCCAGACCCUUCUAAGUCCCCAGGAAACCAGGCACUCCAAGCCCGGGGGUUCCACUGUGAGCCCCCAGAGCCACAGGAGGGUGCUUGGGGGCUGUGGCAGUGUGCUCCUCUUUGAGGAGAUGGAGGCGGCUGCCCUAGUGUACGUCUGGGUGUUCCAGGGCCACCUGCUCACAGGGAUGAGGCUGGGCGGUGCUCCUCCAAGCCUUGGAGAGUCGGGUUCUGGCAGCCCCCCCCCCACUGCCACAACAGGAGUGGGGCCUGGAGGUGAGGAGAGAGGCCUGCCCCCUGCUAAAGCAGCCCAGGAGCCACCUGCGCCCCAGGGGCCAGAUGGGGACCUGCUGCCCACGGCUGCCCCUGAGCCAGGGCCUAGGUGAUCUGCUGCCCACAUUCUACCAUGGCCAGGCCCUGCAGAAGCCUCCCCACCCUGGUUUUUGUUCAGCCCUGGCUUGGCGGGCAAGGCAGGAGCAGGAACGUGUGGGCCUGCAGCCCGCCCUCCCCACGUCACUGCAGCUGCCUCCUCCUGGCCUAUGGGAGCCCUGGGGACACACCUGUCGGUGGCCAGGAGCAGAGAUUGGCCGGCUGGGAGCAGGCACCUGCGUGGGGCGGGGUGAGGAGUGCAUGUAAGGCGAGCCCGGCCACGCCGCCUCUUCCUUCCCGGCUGUCUGUGGCGCCCGCCAUUGUCCCUGGCUGUCUACCUGUACACCCUUAAUCUAUGCUUCCCUUUGUGUCUGAGCCUCACCCGGAGGGAGACAGUCCUUCCUGUGCUUCCUGAGCUACAGCACCUGAGGCCAGAUCUUGGUUGGGAGAGGCUGGGCCGAAGUCAGGUGUGGGCGCAGGCCCCGAGGACCACGGGCUGGCAGGUGACCCACCACUCGCCGGAGAUGGCCCGAGGAUGCGCCAUCCUGAGCUCCUGGACUCCAGAGAGGCGCCAGGCGGGGGAGGACCUAUCAGCUCUGCAGCUGGCAAUCAUCGGGAGCUCGCCUCUGCCCAGGAUGGGCCUCUUCAUGCCAGGGGCUCCCCGUGCCACUAUGGAGCACAGGGCAGGCUCCGUAGCACUGCCCCCACUCUUCCCCUAGGCUGGACUUUGGAGUGAUCUGGGUCCUGGAGAGACCACAGGGGUCCAGAUACUGGGCUGGGUGGGGAGACCUUGUGGGCAAUGGGCUGUUACCCACGUGGGCCCACUGGGGACUGGGGAGGCAGAGUAGGCUCCAUUGGCCUAACUCCACACAGAGGUCCCUGCAGACAUGUCCUGGCUGUUUCCUAACUAAGGACAAGGAGUCUCCGUUCCUCCCCCUGGCAAGAACAGGAACUUUGUCCAAAAUCACAAGCCAGGAUUACCCAUUGUUUUAUCUUUUUGAUCUGAAGCCAGGACUGGGGACUCAGGGCUCGGGGCUCGGGCACCCACCCAGCCUGAGCCCCGGUGGCCUCUCCCUAGGGAGGGGCCGAGGGUCUGCCCUGUGUUCUCCGGUUACUUAUUAACCAACUGGGAGCCACUCUGGAAACCGGCAAGCUGCUGGGGGAGUGCAAGCCCAAGAUCAAGGGCAGGUGGCUGGGUCGCUCCCCAGCUGUGCCUGCAAACACCCCCACCUGGGGCUGGGCACUGAGGGGGGCACCCCAAAGUCCUCAGAGCAGUCCUGGGGGGCUCCAGACAAUCCCAGGGCCAGCCCUCAGGGCUCUGCAGAUGUAGGAGGGUCAGGGGCCAGCCUGGGCUGGGCAGGAGCAGCCCCCACUCCCCCUCAAAGGCACCAGGACUCUCUCCGGGACCAGGAGCAGCCCUGCCAUGCCUCUGAUGGGCGUCUUACCAGACACGGUUAGAUCUCGAUGCCUCUGUCUAAUACUGUCUGGUAAUGCCGUCUAUCCAGGGCCCCAUCACCGCAGGAGGACCACUCACCUGGGCGGUACCACUGCCCAGGGCUGGGGCUGGAGCCCUGGGCCAACUCCCCACCUGCAGGACGCUGGCUGCCUCUCCUGACAAAGGAGUGCCAGGCCCUCACAGCCCCUGGUACUACACUGAGGGUGUGGGAGCUGCAGGCACCUCCAGCCAGCACUCACGGGACAGAGGGGACCCUGAGCCCAACCUGGCCCUCAAGGCCCUGUCCACCUGUACCAGGCAGUGGAAGACAGGCAUGAAGAGCCCUGCCCCACCCCCAGUGUUCCCCAACCUAGAGAAGGGGAGAAGACCCAGGGUGGGUCCUCAUUACAGCCUCUCAGUACCACAUGUCCUAGGCAGCAUCAGGACCCCAGACUCCUGGGAAGGGCCAGAAGCAAGCCCUGGGGUGGGGUGCAGUUGACAUCUCCCUCCACCGGGCUGAGUGGCCCAUGGACCCACGCCCAGGGCUGAGGUGGUCAGGGGGCACUGCCCAAGUGCCAGGCCUGGUGAGAGGGAAGCCGUGCCUUCUCGGCUUGCCCACUGCCCUUCUCUCAGCAGCCCCAGCUCCAGGGUCAGGGAACUGCCCCCCCAACCAAGCUGGGAAUCACACCAUGCCACCUUGCGCCUUUGUCCCCUGAGAGUGAAGCGGGCCCUGAGUAAAGCUGUCAGGGCAGUUGGUUCACUGCGGCGUGACAUGUGAGAAGGAUUCAGAGUGAGCCCCACUCUGGAGUGCGACGUCCCACCCCUCAGACCUGGAACCUGAGCCACUGAUUUCCAACCGCUCCUCCAGAACACAGGCUGCACCCAGACGCCACACACCCAGCCUGGCCAACCCCCUCGCAUGCCCCGGUGUAGGGUGCACCUCGAGCUCCACCAGAUGUCGCCUCCCUCUCUCCCCACAGCACUGUUGAGGCUGACACCCAGUCCUGCUGAGUGUCCCCAGACCCCUCCUCCGUACCCUCCCUUUGGAGACACUGGGAACAACUGCAAAGAUCUCUGUACAAUAAACCCCAUGACUUGAAAACCUUGA